rnacentral:lncRNA from 1 species
CCUAAAACCAAAAUAAUCAUUUCCCCCAUAAUUUUUUAAUGGUUUCAUGAAUCAACAAAGGAACCAAAGGAGUCACUUUCUCUAAUUCUACAAUGAGUCUUUCAAUAAAUCUUACAUAAUUUACUUCUCUCUCUUCCCCUGCAACUAAUUUAGUUCAACCUACUAUUACAUCCUACCUGGACCAUUGUAGUAGCCUCUUAAUUGGUCUCCCAAGAUCAAAUUUUGCCUGUGGAAGCAUUCCCUUUGAAAACUGACACAAGACAGGGAUGCCCUCUCUCACCACUCCUAUUCAACAUAGUGUUGGAAGUUCUGGCCAGGGCAAUCAGGCAGGAGAAAGAAAUAAAGCGUAUUCAAUUAGGAAAAGAGGAAGUCAAAUUUUCCAUGUUUGCAGAUGACAUGAUUGUAUAUUUAGAAACCCCCAUCUUCUCAGCCCAAAAUCUCUUUAAGCUGAUAAGCAACUUCAGCAAAAUCUCAGGAUACAAAAUCAAUGUGCAAAAACACAAGCAUUCCUAUACACCAAUAACAGACAAACAGAGAGCCAAAUCAUGAGUGAACUCCCAUUCACAAUUGCUUCAAAGAGAAUAAAAUACCUAGGAAUCCAACUUACAAGGAAUGUGAAGGACCUCUUCAAGGAGAAUUACAAACCACUGCUCAACGAAAUUAAAGAGGACACAAACAAAUGGAAGAACAUUCCAUGCUCAUGGGUAGGAAGAAUCAAUAUUGUGAAAAUGGCCAUACUGCCCAAGGUAAUUUAUAGAUUCAAUGCCAUCCCCAUCAAGCUACCAAUGACUUUCUUCACAGAAUUGGAAAAAACUACUUUAAAGUUCAUAUGGAACCAAAAAAGAGCCCGCAUUGCCAAGAAAAUCCUAAGCCAAAAGAACAAAGCUGGAGGCAUCACACUACCUGACUUCAAACUAUACUAC